rfam:Triticum aestivum genome assembly, contig: Triticum_aestivum_CS42_TGACv1_scaffold_641106_T_1BL-0.284309_5BL-0.149373
CUUAUACUCCCUCCAUUCGAAAAUAUUUGUCGGAGUAAUGAAUGUAUCUAGACAUAUUUUAGUUAUAGAUACAUCCGUUUUUAUGCAUUUCUUCGACAAGUAAUUCCGGACGGAAGGAGUAUUUA